CGUGCAAUGAACGUGCUUUUGAUGAUGAGGAAUGACACAGGCAAAGAUACAGCAAAUAGAGUGACAGGGACUUUACGGAGAAGUGAAUGACGAGACCUCUGAUCUCCGCGCCCACAACUUUGUGUGAUAGGAAAGGCAGCUGCAAUCUGUUCCAUUUAAUGUUAGCUAAGCACAGCCCUCAGGCUAUUUGUAAGCUGCCAGGGAGCUUUGUACUGCACAAAGUUUGGGCACCUCGCUGAAUUUUGUGGCUGUAGCUGUGCUGCAGGAUCUGACAGCUUCAAGGAUAGAAAAGGCUGGGAAGUUUUUAAAUAGCUUUCUGCCAGAUUCAAACUAGCACCCAGACAUGGGUCAGUGAAUGGGGUUUUCAAGCUGUGGUAUCUUUGUUCCCUUCUUGCAGGAGCAAAUGAAAAGCGUUUCUGUGCCAGGCGUGCAGAAUGCCAGGAAAAGACCAGUAGAUGAGGGCUAUCAUCUGCGCUGGUAGGCACACACAAAAGGAAAAACCAGCAGGCCAGAGAGGAUAAAGUAUCCUCAGCAUGGGGGCACCCUACCAGAGCUUUCCGGAGGCCUAUGGGGAUUUUGUGGGGUUUUAUUUGGUUUGCUUUACAGUGCCUUCAGAGUUGCUCUAGUUCAUUAAUUUUUAACAGUUUAUCAGUAUGGGAAGAUAAAUCCCCUGCAGUCCCUUUUAAUAUAUUUUCUUCUUUUCAAGUAAAUGAUUGAUGAGUAUCAAUAGGAUUGUUCAAUACAGAGUGGUUGCUAAUGUAGGGACCCUGUAGCCUGAGGGUUCCUACCAUAGUUUAUAACCCCUCACAGAUUGUCUGGAUAAGAACUUAAGUAGCCAAAGCUGUAAAAGUUUAUGUAUAUGUGUGGGUGGGGGAAUAGAGAGGAGCUCACGAGUAAGCAAGGCAUGCUUCCAUUAAUCAUGUUGCUUUCCUUCUGACUGCUGCAUUGGGCAAUAUGCUCUUAACUCUGCCAGCUGAGUGGGGAAGAGUUGUUCGAUGUUAAUAUUCACCUCUGGAAGGCAGAGCCCAGGGUUUCAGUGCUGUGUGGAAGGAGUCUCAUCAAGAAGAGCGUGCGGCCUGAUGGUUUGGACACAGAGCAGGGGGUUGGCGGGUCUGGGUCAUGUCUGUGUCCCUUCUGUGGAUGGGCUUAAGUUGUGUCAGAGCAUGCAUCCCCAUUCCCAAUGUGUCAAUGAAUUCCAGUGUGCCAGGGUGAGUGGCUGCUGCCGCCCCCCCAGCUGGGUGCUGCUGCCCAGGGAAUGGGCUCAGGCCACCAAGGCAGUGCUCCUCACACCUCCUCUCACUGCGGUGCUGUCAUCAUUACUGAGUCAGCUUCACUCCUUGGAGCUCCAGGGAGAGCCGAGAGCCCCUCUCAGUAGGUGCUGUGCUCACCAAACAAAUAUAGUCCCUUCUGUGAUGUCACAAUCUCACAGGGUAGGAAACAGCUGGAUGCACAGACACAGGAGCGUGCAGAGAAGCAACGGAGACGGCACUGGGCAGCACACCGGUGGGCGUUCUCCACACACCGACCUCCAGACUGCUGCCAAGCCACUGUGUGAAGCCAUGACUCCCUGGUCCCUCUGAUCUGUACUUAGACCUCUCCACCAGGCUACCUCAUGCUGCACAGAGGUGGGAAGUGAUCUCAUGUGGGGAAGGGACAGAAGGAGAAACAGCUUUAUAGGUGGCAAAGGGAACAUUACAAAGAUCCAUUUUGUGGGUCCAUAUUCCCUCCAAACAGAUGAGGCAAUUAAAGGAGGAAAAACGACAACAAAGGAGAAGCAGAGUCUACUAACAUUUGCUCAGUGUGAAUCUCAGAUUGCUCUGUGGGAGUUAUUUAAAUUUACACCGGUGAAACAGGCAGCAAAAGUGGCUUUCCACAGCCCAGUGCCCCCCAUCUCCUCCUGCCAUAAAUUAACCUGCUUUCCCAAUGACUUCACUGUAUUGGCUCCUGGGAGCAAUUGCCGAGAUGACAGCGCUGAGCACUGCCGUCUGGUCCCGGUUCCCCAGAGCUGACUCUGGGCAGAGUUUGGGGGCUCAGUCAUUGCUCAGUCUGCACAUGGAGCUCUGCGUGGACAGAGCCAUUCGCUCACAUGAGAUGGACUGCAGGAUCAGGAGGCGGCGGUUUGCUGGGAAGGGAAGGGCAAGGCUGCCUGGUUGUUUGGGGAUGCUUCUUGGAGAGGUAUAAAUUACAAAACUGUUCGUUUUGUUUAAAGAAAGAUUACAAUCUCUGGAAGAAAGAUAGCGUUGGAGCAGCAACGCACGCAGUGUGCAGCAUAUGGGACCUAACUGAAAAGAAAAAAAGAAAAGGGAACCCCUCCCAAACAGCACUCCAGUCGUUAAAUAAAAGUAUUUUGUUAGCCUGGAGCAACAGAAUUCCUUGGAAAAAAAUGAAGCCUUGCAAAAAAAAAACAACCCAACAAUUGGCUCCGUUUGACCAUACUAAGCCUUGUUGCACGGCUGCUGCUGACCUCCUGGUUGUGCCACCUGCACAGGGCCGGGGGGGAUCCAGUCCUCCAGCUGCCCAGGAGGCCCCAGUGCUGCAUGCAGCCCCUGUCCACCCGCCGACGAGCUGUGCCGCAGAGCCCGGCGCGUGUCGGUGCAGGGAGAUGGUAGGGGUUUAUGGGGAGAGUGAUUAAAAAUGUAUCAAAGAGGCUUGUAAAGCUUAUGGUUCAAGUUAACUGUAUGAAGUAAACAGCCUUUAAGUGUCUCUUGGGACCGUGACAGAUAGUCUGUGGGUGUUACUGCAACAUGGUACUAGUGAUUGUUCUGGCCAUCCCAAACUAAUCACCAUCUGUGUGUAUGAGCCUCUUGGGAGCUCCUGGUUGUUGGACAAUCAUGGUUGUUAGCAUUUUUAAUCAGUUUCUGCGCGGCACAGAUAGAAACCGUAUGCUCCAGCCCUUUAUUUUCCCUACUCGUGGAGAAUUCCUUAUUGCAGCACUAAAACGCGGACGUGGGAGUUCCCUCUCGUUGCGUUCACCUCGCAGACAGAGCAGUGACAUUCCCCUCAGUUUGACUGCUCGGAGGGCUGUGUUGGGGGUUAGGCUCUGCUUGUGCUGCUGUCAGGGGUGGGCAGAACACAAUUCCCCCACCUGCGGAACCCCGUGACUGUGCUUCUUGCCCUGCUCAGCAGCACUGACACAGGCACGUGACAUUGCGGGUCGCGGCUCGGAGGUGGAGUUGAGGGUUUAUUGUCCUGCCUGCUGGUGAGGAAUAGCUGCUGAAGCGGGGAGAACCAGAGCAGAUCAUUGCCUGGAGCAGGAGGCUCAGUGCAGUUGAAGCGAUGGGCCCUGGGAGAGCUCCCAGCUGUACUCGCCUGGCUGCCGAUGCGAGCGGCGCUGCGGGCGAAGAUGGCUCUGAGAAGUGGAGGGCAAAGCAGGGGAAAGGAUGGCUCAGAUCCAGGCUCUGAGGAGCAGCGUCGGCGCUAAAAAGGAAAACCUUUGCCUUGUUCUGUGCUGAAGUGCAGCUCAUCUCGACAAUUAAUCCACUAAGAAUUAAGACGCGGCGCCCUGGAUUUGCACUGUGCAGCCAUUCAGCAUCUGCGGGAGAACCGCUGCCCUCCCGCCGGGUGGUUUCAUACAGGGUUUCAUACAGGCCCAGCACUUCUGGCCAGGAACUGCUGAGCUGUCAAAGCCUGCGGGCCCCAUCCCUAUCUCCCAUAGCUGUGAAGGAACAAACAAAGGCCGCAGGCGUGCAGAGGAGAAGGCAGCUAUUGUAUGCCAGAGGGAAAUGAGGAGAGAGGAGCAGAAAGCAGGCCGCGUUCCUUCCCAUUGCAGGUGGGCUGGAGGUCUUGCCUUAAAUGAAGUGUCUGGUUUUUUCAUUAUCAAAGUUGCCUUGAGUUUGAUGUUGCUCUCUUCCAGCCUUGCAGCCUAGGGUGGUCGGAUUUGUGGGGUAUUCUGAGAGUGCUUUUAGGUUCUGUGAACUGCUGUCCGUCAGGGAGUGCUAUGGCAGUAUGAUGGAAAUGGUGCUGCCAUUGCCUUCACACCAACGUGUGAAGUGCCCACUCUGCAGCACGCAGGAUAUUGAUAUUCUGUGGUUCAGACCAGGUGGCCCAAGUGGGCUGUGAGAUCCAUCAUCACCAACACAUCAGCCCUGGAGGUUGUCGUGGGCCUGCGCAAAAUGAACAGAACCCUUUAAUUGCUUCAUAUUAACUAACAUAUUGCAGCACCCACAACAUUAUCAGUGUGUGCACUUGAGAAUGUUCUGUGGAUUGUACCAAAACGUACUCCAGGAUCCGGUAAUCCAAAUGUAUUUUCAGAUGCCCUGUGCUCAGAUGUCGUGAUGGGUGGGAGCUGAACUUGUGGAACCCAUCAUGGACCAAGCUUAGUAGGUCUGAAUGCAACCACAACCAUAUACGAGUUGUCUAUAGCCACAUGCAGCCCCAUGAAAGACUUUAUUUUUAGGUCUAGGAAUGAGACCUAUGUCACUGCAACAAGGAAUUUAUUCUACCCUAUACUUGUGCCAAUUAAGCAUCGGUGGUUGCUGCUGCUGCGACAUGUACUGAUAAACGGAUGUGGCAGGAUCGACUGAAUGUUUUGGCAGCAGCCCUCCUUCAGGUAGCUAUUAACUUUAUUUUUUAAUAUGAAAUUCAGGCACUAAAUCCAGGGAAAAAAAAAAAGCAUACAUAAUGUAGGUUAAUUAAAAUGCCUGUAAAUGAACAGGUGACAGGUGUCGAGCCCCAUGACAACCACAACUGGAGAAAUGAAAGCGCAACAGACUAUUAGGAUUCCUGUGUUAAUCAGGUAAUAGUAACUUGGGUAAUUACAAAAUCAUAUGAAAUCUUUUUUAAAUCCCAAACCUCAUUUAUAGCCUUUUGGAGAUAAAAUAUAAAAUGUAGAGUUUUAAUCCAAAAGGACUUUCUCUUCUCUGGAGCCCUCAAUCUCAGAUUUUUUCCAUGGCUGACACAAUUAAGGGCUGUUGUUCUUUUUUUUUUUUUUCCUCUCCCCUCUCUUCAAUUUUAUUUUAAUUAAGAAAUAUUGAGUUAAAAGCCACCGAAGAAUUUUAGUGUCUAUCUCUUUGACAGGUAUUGGAUAGUCACUUAUGUGUCCCGAGGCCUUUCUCCGUGUAGCAGGUAGAUUCCUGCUGUGUGCAUCUGUUGGGUCUAAGAGGUGGAAUUCAUUUUCGUGCUGAGAAGCAGCACAGGGCAUGUGAGAGAUGAACCUGGAGUAGACUGGAGGCCGCUCUGUCUUCCCAGGAGCAAAUUAUGCCGCAGAUGACUAACAGGACUUAUGAUUAAAAUCUUUUUCCUGUGAAUAUGAGGAGAGGUGGCAAUACCGUUUCAUACCUGAUAGGCAAACUGUGGCUUGUUAUACUUCUAAGACAAUAGGUGUUCUUGUGGCUUUUUCCAUACUGAAAAGACCAUCCGGUCGUUUCUUCUCCGCAGGAAAAUAGGUUGAACCCUCCUGAGGAGGCAUCUGCAGAGAUCCCCGGUGUGACUCUGAGUUUUCCCUUAUAAGCAGGGUCAUGAUCCCAAGUAGAAAUUUUGUCAGAGGUGUUAAGUGAUUUGCCCAGGGUCAUUAAUACAGAUCUAUAAGAAAAUGAAAAAUGAAACCUUCCAGAUUUUUGCUCUAAUUACCGAAGGCACAUGCCUCUCUCUGGGUCUGUCCAAAAAAAAAAAACCAACAACCAAAACCACCAAGAAAGUGACUGUAAUUAGGGCUAAGAGCUGAGCUCCCACACUAAAACUCUAUGGAGGGCCCUCGGAGGCUGAUUCAGCAGCUAGCAUGUAAGGAUUAUUCUUGUGUUCCUUUUUUUUUUUUUUUUUUUUUUUUUUUGUAAAAUCCAGAUAUCAAAAAUGAAACACAAUAUUUUUCAUCCUUGUCCCUGCAAUAGCAUUUAUUGCCCCUGGGCGACAGACAACGAGACAAACAGAAACAGAUUUUUUUUCUUUCUUUGACUUGGGAGAUGAGAACAUGUUUUGUACAUUCCUAAGCUGCAGCCAACAUAAAGGUCUUUAUCUUCAAGGAAGUCAGUGGUUUGAUUCUUGGUAGUACCUCACUAACCCAGACAGUGACAAACCUGCCAGCUUUCCCCUCCAUACCAGGAAGAUGAUGGCAUUCACCUCCCAUCAAGAGGGACGAGGGGAGCUGCCCUCCCUUUCCCUUUUCUGACCAACAGUGUUUACAAAUUAAACAAAGGAUGGAGCUUUAUUACAGGAAGCAUUCGGACCACAAAGUAUGCUCUGGAAUAAAGGUCAGGAUGGGAAAACUGCCAAGAUUUCCCCUCCCUACCGCUACUAAUUGUCACUGUUCCACUUAAAAAAAAGAAAAAAAGAAAAAAAGCAGACUGAGCUGGGGGGAAAAAUAAACCCCAUAGUCAGAAUAUCUGGGAGAAAACGGAAAUCAGGCUUCAUCUAGUGCUUGAGGUAUACCCCACAUAGACUCCAUUGAAUUCUGCCCACCUCUGUGCCAGCCUCCCUUAGGCAUGGUGGACAGUAGUCAUUUUGUUUGGGUUUUCUUUCCCUUCGCUCCCUCCCUCUGCCUCUUUUGGUGUUUUUAUUCUGGCCCAGCAGGCACCAAAGUGAGCUCCCACAAGCACUGGCACACUUAAAAAACAAAAAACAAAACAAAACAAAAAAAGAAAAAGAAAAAAAAUUGCUGCCACUCUCCCAGAGACAUCCAUUAUGUCUGCAGAGCCCUACGUUUUGCAACAUAAAAGCAUAAUCAAAAGAAAUCACGCUUCGACUCAGUCAGGGACAGGGCAGAAUAGUCCAUUUAGCUUUAUGCUAAAAAAGAAAAUAAUUGGACCCAAAAUCACUUGAAAUAGGAGCAGGAAACAGUUUGUUUGCAAUCUAUUUCCUCUGGAAAACAGCAAACCUUAUUAAACCCUCUUUGGGAGCUAUUUAUUUUGGAAACAAGUUCGGCGUUCUGCAAGCAGCACACGCACGCAGAAAAAGUUGUACUGGAGUGUAAUCUUUGGAGGAAAUGUCCCUGUUUAUCUACGUUGUACUUCUAUCCAGCUCCCAGAAAAUUAAGGUUCCCACAUCUUCAGUGAUAGACUUGGCUCCUAUCAAGGCUGCAUCCCAUCCAGAGAACUGGAAUGAUGAACCCAUCAGUCUGGGUUACAAAUGUGCCAUAGGGAAUCCAGCAAAGCCAAAGCAUUCUUCCUUGGCCUCACCCCAGCUCUUGUUCCAGGUAACCUCUCACCAUUCUCCUCUUAGCCACCGUACUAAACCAAAACGAUGACGCCACAGUUCUUACUCUUGAUGGUUUCACUCCCAGGUGAGCUAUCCUCAGUGUGAAGAUGGCACAUAGCAAAGAGGCACCGUAGAGCCCAGCCUGCUGUCACUGCCUUGCAUCUAAACCACAACCCCUUGGCCUUUGUCAUGUCGUUCUGAACACUGCUAUGUGGUGGAGACCAUUCAGUGUAGCUUUCACCUCUCCUUUCAACGGUCACAGCACAGUGGGAUCCUCUAGUGAAUAGUUAUGAUGAAUCUUUUUUAGCUUGCAUGUUGUUUUAGCAGUUUGGCAGUUUUUGGAUGCAGCAGUUUCAGUUUCACUGCUGGGCUUCAGUGGGACAGAAUCUCACAGUGUGCAAAAGUGAGCAAAAAUGUCACAGUGUGCACAGUGAGCAAAACGAUUCCUCACUGCCUUUGGUUCUCCAAGGGAGGGCUUCAUCAGCCUUCUUCACUGCUAGCCUCAGAUUCAUCCUCCACUGAUGAUCCUAGGCAAUCCAUUUCACGUCUCUUUUUGGCACAGGGAGGUGUUUGUCCCUCUCUACUCUGCCCUCGUGAGGCCCCAUCUGGAGUACUGCGUCCAGGUCUGGGGCCCCCAAUACAGGAAAGACAGGGAGCUGUUGGAGAGGGUCCA